rnacentral:rRNA from 1 species
GUGGGGAAUAUUGGACAAUGGGCGAAAGCCUGAUCCAGCCAUGCCGCGUGUGUGAAGAAGGCCUUCGGGUUGUAAAGCACUUUAAGCGAGGAGGAAGGUUCGUCACCUAAUACGUGACGGAAUUGACGUUACUCGCAGAAUAAGCACCGGCUAACUCUGUGCCAGCAGCCGCGGUAAUACAGAGGGUGCAAGCGUUAAUCGGAAUUACUGGGCGUAAAGCGCGCGUAGGCGGUUGUGUAAGUUGGAUGUGAAAUCCCCGGGCUUAACCUGGGCACUGCAUUCAAAACUGCACGGCUAGAGUAUUGGAGAGGAAGGUAGAAUUCCAGGUGGAGCGGUGAAAUGCGUAGAGAUCUGGAGGAAUACCGAUGGCGAAGGCAGCCUUCUGGCCAAAUACUGACGCUGAGGUGCGAAAGCAUGGGGAGCAAACAGGAUUAGAAACCCCAGUAGUCC